CACAUACAGAGCACAUACACACUUUCACCGCAUGUUUCAGGUCUGGCAACGGGAGGAAAGCGCCCCUCAGGAAUGAAGCCUUUGUCUGAAUGGAUGUGGAGCACGCGCGCGCAUCCGAUGAAAGGCGACGAGACCGUGGUGAAAGGGGCGAAUCGAGAGCAACUAGGAGAAAGGUGCCCACCGAGGUCAAUGAUACCACGACUAUCGAAUGAGCUCGAAUUGAUAGAAAGACAAGAUAGCUUCCGCAAGAAAGAGGAAGCAAGCAAUACAAUACUUAUACAUACACCUAGAAUACAAAUUUUAUCAGUAUUUCAGUAGUUGAUAAUUAUAUAUUUAUUCUUGAAUAAAUGUUACAAUUGCA